rnacentral:lncRNA from 1 species
CUACCGUCUGCCAAUGGCUGCACUCUCAACAGCUCCCUGGCUCCCACAAUCAGGGGCAGCUGAAAGACAACAGUAGGGACAGAGCUAUUGAACAAGAGAGGGCUUGAACAGCAAGGGCCUGUGGAUACAGUGUGUGCCCGGAUGGACUUGGCCCGGCUAUGGGGGGGUGAGAACCGCGGCCUCUCCCACGUGGAAGGCAGCGACGACUGGGGUGAUGAGUUAGGAGGACUGGGUGUUAUACCCUUCAGUCAUUCCCUCAUCCCUCUCAGAGACUCUAGUCCACUCGUCCUCACCGAUCUGGACAUGUGGGACAGCAGGUCUCACUUUAAAUCUCAGUCCUUAGCGUGGAGUAUGGCAUGUAGGACUGGAGGGUUCCUCUCCAAAAUGAGCACCGGCACCUCCGUUAAUGGCAGAGACAGUGGCUUCAGCAGACAGAGUGACCCAGGGCUGGGUAAAAGAAGAUGGCAGUCGAUGUCUCGCCUGGCCCCCGAGGGCGCCCCCCGGUCCCUCUCCCCUGUCUCCCCAGGGGUUGAGCUGAGAGCAGCCCUGGAAGAGAGUGGCUUUAGGCGAGCAGAGCUGGUGCAGAGGCUACGGGAGGCCCAUGGACGUCUGGACAGCCAGACAGACCUGCUGAAGAACAGAGAGACACAGCUGCAGCAUAGCAGUAGUACUGCACAGCUGCUGGAGGUGAAACACAAGCAGCUGGCAGAUGCAGUGAGUGCUCUUGAGCAGGAGAAGGAGGCAGCUGAGUUGAGCCGGUUUGAGGAAAGUCGACGUCGAGGAGAACUGCAAGACAAGGUUCUUCGACUGGAGAUGGACAUGUUGAGGAUGAAAUCAAACCUGAGUGUUAUCAAACCCACGGCCCCAAGAACUAACAACAACCCACUCAGCAGGACCUCACCUGUUACACAACAAGACUUGUUCAGAGAGGUACACUGUUUAAACCUCAUUGGACAAAACUCUUUGGUCCCAGAUCUGUUUGUGCAACUCCUCUGAUUGUUGUC